rnacentral:lncRNA from 1 species
CUUGCAUCUUUUAGGGCAGGCAAAGCAAGAGAGGCUUUGGGCAAAGUGCUACCCUAUUGGAUAAUCUCUCAAUAUUUUGCAGUUCACUAGGUUUCCUCCAGAGAGACAGAUAAAUACAACGUUAUUUCUUCACCUAACAGAUCUAACAGACCUUCUUUUUGUUCACCACCCCCAAUCUCCUAUCUCCCUGCUGCUUCCAUCAACUAGGAGGUGGAUACACAAUUGCUUGAUGACACUUGAGGAUAUUCACAGCCUAACAAAGAGGCAAAGAUUUCUGGAGAUAAAUCCCAACAUCGGCCUCUGGGUGCCUUAGUAUCCUGAAGAGCACAGCAACAUAAAAAAGCUUGAGCAGAAUUGUAUCCAUAAGGCUUGUAUGGACUGAUGCUGAGUGAAGUGAGCAGAACCAGAAGAAUGUUGUACAC